UACGAAGGGUGCAAGCGUUAAUCGGAAUUACUGGGCGUAAAGCGCACGUAGGCGGAUCAGAAAGUUGGGGGUGAAAUCCCGGGGCUCAACCUCGGAACUGCCUCUAAAACUCCUGGUCUUGAGUUCGAGAGAGGUGAGUGGAAUUCCGAGUGUAGAGGUGAAAUUCGUGGAUAUUCGGAGGAACACCAGUGGCGAAGGCGACUGUCUGGUCUGUAACUGACACUGAGGCGCGAAAGCGUGGGGAGCAAACAGG
rnacentral:rRNA from 1 species